rnacentral:rRNA from 1 species
GAUGAACGCUGGCGGCGUGCCUAAUACAUGCAAGUCGAGCGAACGGACGAGAAGCUUGCUUCUCUGAUGUUAGCGGCGGACGGGUGAGUAACACGUGGAUAACCUACCUAUAAGACUGGGAUAACUUCGGGAAACCGUAGCUAAUACCGGAUAAUAUUUUGAACCGCAUGGUUCAAAAGUGAAAGACGGUCUUGCUGUCACUUAUAGAUGGAUCCGCGCUGCAUUAGCUAGUUGGUAAGGUAACGGCUUACCAAGGCAACGAUGCAUAGCCGACAUGAGAGAGUGAUCGGCCACACUAGGACUAAGACACGGUCCAGACUCCUACGGGAGGCAGCAGUAGGGAAUCUUCCUCAAUGGGCGAAAGCCUGACGGAGCAACGCCGCGUGAGUGAUGAAGGUCUUCAGAUCGUAAAACUCUGUUAUUAGGGAAGAACAUAUGUGUAAGUAACUGUGCACAUCUUGACGGUACCUGAUCAGAAAGCCACGGCUAACUACGUG